AUGGAUUAGAACAUCGAACUAUGAAGACAUCCCCAGUGCAAUACAGUAUUUAGCAGACUUGUUUCAGGAGACCUUUGGCCCCAUUCUCUAAUGCUUGGGCAUUAGAUAGGCAUUUGCGCUUAUGUGGCUGUAAGUAAUGUCCAG
rnacentral:lncRNA from 1 species